rnacentral:rRNA from 1 species
CCUACGGGGGGCAGCAGUGAGGAAUAUUGGUCAAUGGACGCAAGCCUGAACCAGCCAUGCCGCGUGCAGGAAGACGGCUCUAUGAGUUGUAAACUGCUUUUGUACGAGGGUAAACGCAGAUACGCGUAUCUGUCUGAAAGUAUCGUACGAAUAAGGAUCGGCUAACUACGUGCCAGCAGCCGCGGUAAUACGGAGGAUUCAAGCGUUAUCCGGAUUUAUUGGGUUUAAAGGGUGCGUAGGCGGUCGGAUAAGUUAGAGGUGAAAUCCCGCGGCUCAACUUCGGAAUUGCCUCUGAUACUGGUCGGCUAGAGUGUAGUAGCGGUAGGCGGAAUGUAUGGUGUAGCGGUGAAAUGCUUAGAGAUCAUGCAGAACACCGAUUGCGAAGGCAGCUUACCAAGCUACUUCUGACGUUGAGGCACGAAAGCGUGGGGAGCAAACAGGAUUAGAUACCCCUGUAGUC